rnacentral:rRNA from 1 species
AGUGAACGCUGGCGGUAGGCCUAACACAUACAAGUCGAACGGCAGCACAGUAAGAGCUUGCUCUUACGGGUGGCGAGUGGCGGACGGGUGAGGAAUACAUCGGAAUCUACUUUUUCGUGGGGGAUAACGUAGGGAAACUUACGCUAAUACCGCAUACGACCUACGGGUGAAAGCAGGGGAUCUUCGGACCUUGCGCGAUUGAAUGAGCCGAUGUCGGAUUAGCUAGUUGGCGGGGUAAAGGCCCACCAAGGCGACGAUCCGUAGCUGGUCUGAGAGGAUGAUCAGCCACACUGGAACUGAGACACGGUCCAGACUCCUACGGGAGGCAGCAGUGGGGAAUAUUGGACAAUGGGCGCAAGCCUGAUCCAGCCAUACCGCGUGGGUGAAGAGGGCCUUCGGGUUGUAAAGCCCUUUUGUUGGGAAAGAAAAGCAGCAGGUUAAUACCCCGCUGUUCUGACGGUACCCAAAGAAUAAGCACCGGCUAACUUCGUG